AUUUAUGCCCAUACCAUCCUGAACAUGCCCAAUCUUGUCUAAUUUCAGAAGCUAAGCAGGGUCAGGCCUGGUUAGUACUUGGAUAGGAGGAUAGGAGACCACCUAGGAUAAGCAGGUGCUGUGGGGG
rnacentral:rRNA from 1 species